rnacentral:rRNA from 1 species
UACGGGGGGAGCAAGCGUUGUUCGGAUUUACUGGGCGUAAAGGGCGCGUAGGCGGCCUCCGCAAGUCAGUUGUGAAAUCUCCGAGCUUAACUCGGAAAGGUCAACUGAUACUGCGGGGCUAGAGUGCGGAAGGGGCAACUGGAAUUCUUGGUGUAGCGGUGAAAUGCGUAGAUAUCAAGAGGAACACCUGCGGCGAAGGCGGGUUGCUGGGCCGACACUGACGCUGAGGCGCGAAAGCUAGGGGAGCGAAUGGG